rnacentral:tRNA from 1 species
GACCCCAUAGCUCAGUUGGUAGAGCAUUCGCCUAGAUAGCGAAAGGCCCCCAGUUUAAGCCUGGAUGGAGGCA